AUGUACCCAAUUGCAUGGGCUGUUGUUGAAGUUGAGAGUUACGACAGUUGGUACUGGUUUCUAUCACUCCUUCAAAAGGACAUUCAGAUAAAUAAUCAUGGUGAUGGAUGGGUUUUCAUCUCUGACCAGCAGAAGGACCUCAUCAGAUCAGUAAAUGAAAUAUUUCCACAAGCUGAGCAUAGAAUGUGUGCCAAGCACAUCUAUGCAAACUGGAGAAAGUAG
rnacentral:rRNA from 1 species